rnacentral:rRNA from 1 species
AUUGAACGCUAGCGGCAUGCUUAACACAUGCAAGUCGAACGGUAACAGGCCUAGCUUGCUAGGCGCUGACGAGUGGCGGACGGGUGAGUAACGCGUAGGAAUCUACCUUGUAGAGGGGAAUAACCUGGGGAAACUCAGGCUAAUACCGCAUAAGCCCUAAGGGGGAAAGCAGGGGACUGUAACAGGCCUUGCACUAUGAGAUGAGCCUACGUCGGAUUAGCUAGUUGGUAGGGUAAAGGCCUACCAAGGCGAAGAUCCGUAGCUGGUCUGAGAGGACGACCGGCCACACUGGGACUGAGACACGGCCCAGACUCCUACGGGAGGCAGCAGUGGGGAAUAUUGGACAAUGGGCGCAAGCCUGAUCCAGCAAUGCCGCGUGUGUGGAGAAGGCCUGCGGGUUGUAAAGCACUUUCAGUGGGGAGGAACGUUUUUAGCACUAAUACUGCUAAGAGGUGACGCUACCCAAAGAAGAAGCACCGGCUAACUCUGUGCCAGCCGCCGCGGUAA